rnacentral:RNase_P_RNA from 1 species
CCAGAUCUUCGGCUAAUCGCCUGGGCAAAUUGCCUAGGAGGAAAGUCCGGGCAGCAAAGGGAAAGACAGUUGCUAACGGCAACCGGGGGUAACCCCAGGGAAAGUGCCACAGAAACGAAACCGCCUGAUUUCAGGUAAGGAUGAAACGAGUGGGGUAAGAGCUCACAGUCAUGCAUGGUGACAUGCAAGAGAGGUAAACCCUGUCUGCUGCAAGGAGAUAAGUCUCAUAUAGGUUCCCGCCGAGGCUUGUCACAAGAACCGCUUGAUCCGCCAAGCAAUUGGUGGACUAGAUAGAUGAUUAGCUAAAACAGAACCCGGCUUACGGAUUAUCUGGCAGU